UCCUGUGUUUAAGCCACGCAGUCUAUGGUGUUCUGCCACAACAACCAAGGAGACAAAGGCAGAAGUACUAAAUACUUUGAUUUGUUCAGCAGCAGUUACCCUCAUCUCACUCAAAACCUUCAUCAAUGGUGGUACCAAGAUGUGCAGAUAACCAUUUUCCACCUAAAUUUCCUGGUCUUCAGAAUGUUUCCCGCAUAAGGGUAUCACACACAUUCCCUUUUCCUGCCUCACUUCAUAAAAAGUCCCUCCAGUCGGCUGCCCUCAGCUUCCAUACUUGUCCUGUGCCUUUCCUAAACUGGGUUCCAUUUUGCUUUUCCCCAGACCACGCUCUUCCACGUUCUCCCUUACCUAUUCAUUGUCAGCCCCCUUCUCUGUAGCCGCUUGGAUAUUAUUUUUACCCUACCAGGGGUUCUGUGGAUUCAGGUUAGACUGAAACAUAUUACCCUAGGCUAUGACUGAAAGUUGGGUUUUAAUUUUAUUUUCUGCCUCAAAAAGAUUUGUUACAGAAUUGUUGGAAAACUCAGCCUAGAUUUUCAAAUUAUCUGAAAAGUUUUGUGUGUAGUCCAGAAUCUCAACCUUGUUCAAUCAACUUUUCCAAUUGCCUCAGCACACACACAUUCAUCUAGACCUUUUAGGAGUUUUACACUUUUUUCUCCACUAGUCAGUUUAGCUCUUGACUAGAAACUAUAAAGUUUUUGUUUUUCUCUCAUUUCUGACCUCUUUUUUUCCCCAAUCCCAAACUCACUGUUUUUCUCCCUUCCUCUCCCCAAUCUGUCUGUCUCUCUCUCACACACACACCUCACUUAUUUUUCAUUCAUCUUUAAGUGUAAUUAAGACAAUGCUAAAUAUGUAGCAGUUACUCAAUACAUCAGCUGUUGAUUGUUUGCUGACAGCAUUAACCUGAGUUAUGCUCAAUUAUUUCUGAUUUGUGAAAUUAUUUCUGAAUUUCACCCUCUUCUUGAUCUCAGAGGCAAACAUGAGAAAGAUUCUGCCUGGAAAAAAAUGCAAUUACUCUCAAGGAAUUUCCCAUAAAAUAUUUGCAAAAACAUAAUAUAAAAAGAAUUGUGGUUGAUGACAUUUACUUUAGGCCUCCUGUAUGUUGAUCUUUUCACUUCAAAGCUGAUUUCAUUUUGGCCCUUAGCUUUAAGCACAGGAUAAUUUGCUUGCUUGGAUUACUGUUGAGUCUAAUAAGUGUUGGGUCGUUAAUAAAACCUUUUCAGAACAUGAUAAUGGCUUAGGA
rnacentral:lncRNA from 1 species